GGUGGCUUAGUGGUAGAGCACUUGCCUUGCAUGCAUGAGGUCCUGGGUUCGAUUCCCCAGCACCA
rnacentral:tRNA from 1 species